rnacentral:pre_miRNA from 10 species
GUAUUGCCAAAGUGCUUACAGUGCAGGUAGUACUAUGCAACGCUACUGCAGUGGAGGCACUUCUAGCAAUACCCGGGCCC